AUCAUGAGUUCGACAUUAUAUACAAUGCUAUAUUACUUGUUCAAGAUCUCAUCCACUUGUGGGAAGUAAAGUUAUCACCACUCUAUCCCAAGGGUAGUCAAAAAAUAUGUCGAUGUUAUCAACAAUUGACAAUGGUAUUGAUACCCACACUAUUAUCAGAGCAUUGAAUACUCCAACAAAUAGAGCAAGGUCGAGCUUGUAUCGAUUAGCUCAGGGCGUUGAUGAUCGGAGAAAAGUCUUCUCGAAUUAGGCACAUGAAUUCUUCUCUAUGGAUUUGAAGUAUUUGUCCUUUGUCGAUCGCCCUUCAGAAUGAGACCACAUCUCAAUCCCGUCAUGACUGCAUAUUCUUGCAAUUCAAACCCAGUCAAGUGCCCUUGCACAUUGAACCAUAAUUCGUUUGUCUUAUUAGUUCGAAUGGAUCUGAAUACUAGUUGUUGGAUUAAUUGGGUAGAGAAUUGUAUGUCUGGAACCUCGAUAGAAACCCAAGGCAUGAGUUGCGAAAAUCUUCUCAUUGUCGGUCAUCAAAAUGCUCCAUAACCCUUUCUAGGUACUUGAAAUUGCUUCUUUGUGAGGUAUAGCGAGAAAACAUAAAACAGUCAAAUCAUAAUAUUUCAUGCAUGUUAAUGCCAAACACACGUUUUACGUUCGGAUAAAUCCAAGAUGGACAUGUGGACCACGAUGCAACAACAAAUCAAAAAAUCGUCAGAUUAUAAUAUUUCAUACAUGUUAAUGCCAAACACGCAUGUAAUGUUCGGAAAAACCAAAGUUCGACAAGUGGAUCUGUUAUGUGUCGAGAAAAAUGGACAUGAAUUGUCAAUCUUGACAAUUCAUCUGCCAAGAACGUUAGGUAAUCUCGAUAGAUGACUCAUCUCAUCCAUUAAUAUUCAGCUAUUUGCCGAGAAUUAAUGCGACGGCUCACUUCAAUGCCAUUUCUCUACUUAAGUUAAUUGUCGAGAAAUCUACUUUUGACCUCUAAACCAUCGAAAUGAGAAAGGAGUAAAAGGUAUGAAAGAGUUUGUAAAUAUUGUUUGAUGCCAGUUGGCUUAAGCAUUUAUAGCACAACAUUGCAAAAUUGGUGAAUUAAGAGUUUCUCGUUUAACCUUCUAAAACACUGAAAUCAUUCAAUGAUGAAAGGGAAAAAAAGUAGUCCAAAAAAUAGUUUGUAAAUUAGUAAAUUAUGCCAUCACAAUGUUUACUUAUUAGCAUUUUUUUUUUUUAAAUCACG
rnacentral:lncRNA from 1 species